rnacentral:rRNA from 1 species
UACGUAGGGUGCGAGCGUUGUCCGGAAUUAUUGGGCGUAAAGAGCUCGUAGGCGGUGUGUCACGUCGGCCGUGAAAACCUGCAGCUUAACUGUGGGCGUGCGGUCGAUACGGGCAUCACUGGAGUUCGGCAGGGGAGACUGGAAUUCCUGGUGUAGCGGUGAAAUGCGCAGAUAUCAGGAGGAACACCGGUGGCGAAGGCGGAUCUCUGGGCCUUACCUGACGCUGAGGAGCGAAAGCAUGGGGAGCAAACAGG